rnacentral:rRNA from 1 species
GUCUGGUUGGUUCAGGUGUGUGGGUGGGUAGGGGAGCGUCGUGUGGCGGGUGAAGCGGCAGAGUGAUCUAGCCGUGGACGCUACACGAGUGAGAAUGCAGGCAUGAGUAGCGAAUGAAGGGUGAGAAACCCUUCCGCCGGAUGACCAAGGGUUCCAGGGCCAGGCUAAUCCGCCCUGGGUGAGUCGGGGCCUAAGGCGAGGCCGAGAGGCGUAGUCGAUGGAUAACGGGUUGAUAUUCCCGUACCCGCGUAGGAGCGCCCAAGACGAACCUUCCUAUACUAACCUCUCAAUCAAUUUGAUGGCUUCGGCCGGAGAUGCGGGAGAUUGGGAUCUUGGGGGGUAGUAGUUUAGCGAUGGGGUGACGCAGGAAGGUAGCUGGUCCCAGGCGGUGGUUGUCCUGGGGUAAGCGUGUAGGCCGUGUCAUAGGCAAAUCCGUGACAUAUUGAGGCUGAGACGUGAUGCCGAGCCGAUUCAGGUGAAGUCAGUGAUCCUAUGCUGCCGAGAAAAGCCUCUAGCGAUGUUCCGAGCGGCCCGUACCCCAAACCGACACAGGUGGUCAGGUAGAGAAUACCAAGGCGACGGGCGAACUGUGGUUAAGGAACUCGGCAAAUUGCCCCCGUAACUUAGGGAGAAGGGGGGCCGGACACGUGAAGGAACUUGCUUCUGGAGCGUGGUAUGGCCGCAGAGAGCAGGGGGAAGCGACUGUUUACUAAAAACACAGGUCCAUGCCAAGUCGUAAGACGAUGUAUAUGGACUGACGCCUGCCCGGUGCUGGAACGUUAAGGGGACCUGUUAGCCCGUAAGGGCGAGGCGGAGAACUUAAGCCCCAGUAAACGGCGGUGGUAACUAUAACCAUCCUAAGGUAGCGAAAUUCCUUGUCGGGUAAGUUCCGACCUGCACGAAUGGCGUAACGACUUCCCAGCUGUCUCAACCACAGGCUCGGCGAAAUUGCAGUACGAGUAAAGAUGCUCGUUACGCGCGGCAGGACGGAAAGACCCCGGGACCUUUACUAUAGCUUGACAUUGGUAUCCGAAUGUAAUUGUGUAGGAUAGGUGGGAGCCGGUGAAGCUGCGACGCCAGUCGUGGUGGAGGCAAUCUUGAAAUACCACUCUGUUGGAUUUGGGUAUCUAACUUGCGGCCCUGAUCGGGUCGAGGGACAGUGUCUGGUGGGUAGUUUAACUGGGGCGGUUGCCUCCUAAAGAGUAACGGAGGCGCCCAAAGGUUCCCUCAGCCUGGUUGGCAAUCAGGUGUUGAGUGUAAGUGCACAAGGGAGCUUGACUGUGAGACUGAC